GAGAGAGGCUCGUCAGCAGCGAAGACUGCUAAUCUUUCGCCACCUUGGUUAGACCCCUGGGCUCACUC
rnacentral:tRNA from 1 species